rnacentral:misc_RNA from 1 species
UUUCCGUAGGUGAACCUGCGGAAGGAUCAUUACCGAAUUGUCAACACGAGUUGUUGCUGGUCCCCAGGCCGGGGUCACGUGCACACUCUGUUUAUACAUCCACCCACACCUGUGCACCCUCCGUAGCUCUAUGGCCUGGGUGGUUUGUCCCCCCUUGCUGUGGUUCUACGUAUUUACACACACACACUGCCAUAAAGUCUCAUGGAAUGUUUGCCGCGUUUAACGCAAUACAAUACAACUUUCAGCAACGGAUCUCUUGGCUCUC